AGCAGCAGGAGGAGGAGGAGGAGCAGGAGAGGAGCGGUUGUUGUUGAUGGGUAACAGUCGCCAGGACUACGGUGACUAUGGCGCUUGAUUCACAAGGCAACGGUUGCUAUAACUCACAAAAGGGAGAGCGAGCGAGGGAGGAGGAGGCGGCGGCCCAGUCGGAGAGGCCCGGAAGAGGCGGGGCCUGUCCUGACUGACGGCGCGGGGCCGAGCGCUACCUGCUCCCUCCGCCGGGCCGGGCGCCGUCCGCCGCGCCCCCGCUCAUCCGUCGCGCCAGGACCGCCCGCGCCAGGCACGCGGUGCCGGCGGCGCAGCGCGCGGGCCGUGAAUACUCACCAUGGGGAGAAGGUAAAGAAGAUAUGUUUAGAUGUUAUAAAGAAUUAGGCAGUUCCGGUGCAGAUGUAUAGGCAGUGCUGUCUGGCUGCUUGUCAUGUUUCUUCGAUUACUCAUUAAAGGAUAGAUUGAUUAGAACAACUGAAACAGUGAAGAAAUGAGAAGAGAGCAUGGAAGAGUGGCAGAGGACUGGGAGGCCAGGAAGAAGGAGGCUCAUGAGGCUGUAAUUUGCAGCCUGUGUGAUAAGUCUGCGCUCGUCCUGACUUCACAGAAGGAGCUGAGAACCUUCCAGAGAUCAACUAAAUGCAGUCUUUCAGCCUAGUCCUGCUGUUUCCCCUGCAACAUGAAUUUGAUCUUUUUCCAAUUACUCCUCUGUUACAUUUUAAUAUUAUGUUUAUUGUACCAGGAAACUGUUUGGCCACAGAUGUCAAAUCAGUAAUAAAACAAUUAGAAGAGGUAUGCUUUCAUUUCCUUCACAGUAUUAAAGUGAAUGGUAGUCCUGUAUUUGAGGGUAAAGGCCAUGAUUUGAUAUUAAAAUGGGGAGAGACAAAGUAGUUAAAUUAAGCACUAGCAGUCAUCAGGGAGCCUGACCUCUGCAGUGUUAGAUGGAAAUCUGUGAGCUAGCUGGCAUUGCAGUCAGUGGGCUCACGUCGCACAAGAGCAUCACAAUAAAACUAUAAAUCAAUCCUACUAAGACUCAAAAAUGUGUACUUUAAAGCACAAGUAUAGUUCAACAUAGUAGAAUAAUUAUUGUGUUUCAAGUGAAAAUAAAAUCACAGCUGCAGAACUAAGCCUUCAAAUCUUUAUCUUUUUGAUUGUACAAAUGAUUCUUUUUUUUUUAAUGAAAAUUGGAAAAAUCCUUAGGUAAGACUGAUCUAAAAAAUUUUUGGCUUUUCUUCCACAUUUAAAUAAAGGAAUUUAUCCUUGGGGCUUUUCUCAUGCUCAUUUUUGGCCUGACAGCACUUUUGCCUUCCCUCAGCAUUGUUAGUUUAUUUGUAGCAAAGCAAGAUCUACCCCUUCCGUGUAAAAACAUAACAUUAGAUUGUAUUUUUAUUGCAGUCAGGAAAUAAAUCUAGUAAGAUUAGUUUCGUUUCUAAAUGUCUGUAAUUCUAGAAUUAUGCUUAAAGAAUUUAUAAUGAUCUUCAACUCUAAAUGUAUAGUAUCACACUUAUCAUAAGUGUUAUAGCACACUGCUAACUGCUAUUCAGCCUUACACAACCAUUCACAAAUGUAUUCACAGGUAACAAUAUGGUAAUAAAUUAAGCUUCUGUAUGAAUGCAGUUAACCUUGCCAAUUAAAAUUGAAACUUAGGGAACACCCUUUGCUCAUUCUGCUAAUUCUAGCUGCUACGAAGUAUCUGUUACCAGGAAAUCAGGUUGACCUUGUGUGGAGCCAGAUGUUGGACUCCGUAAUUCUUGUAGGUUUCUUCUAACCUGGGAAGUUCUGUAAUUCUAUAGUUAGAUUUAUCCAAAUUUUUCAGGUAUGACUAUGUAUGAUUUU